AGCGUAGACGGAUGGACAAGUCUGAUGUGAAAGGCUGGGGCUCAACCCCGGGACUGCAUUGGAAACUGCCCGUCUUGAGUGCCGGAGAGGUAAGCGGAAUUCCUAGUGUAGCGGUGAAAUGCGUAGAUAUUAGGAGGAACACCAGUGGCGAAGGCGGCUUACUGGACGGCAACUGACGUUGAGGCUCGAAAGCGUGGGGAGCAAACA
rnacentral:rRNA from 1 species